GGGCGGGGGAGCGAGAGGCGCGGGGACUGGGUGUCAGACCUCGAGCCUCGACGGCCCUGAAGUCAUAGUGUUUGUACAAAGUGGUGGCACCAGACCAGGAGGAGCUGAGAGCGAGAUUCCGAGGUGGGGGGAAUGGGGCUGCGCUGUAAGUGACCGAGUGAGACUCCCGAUAUUUAAUUUAGCUUUUUUCAGAAGGAAAAGAAAAAACAAUAAUGAGCCUCGGAGAUGCUCCUUCUGCAUUAACCAGCUAUCGACCUGUCUGCGUCGGACUGCGGGCGGCGAGAAAGAGGACAGGGAAGGGCCAGGCGGCUCUUAGGGACUCAGUCACGCCGGCGGGUGGGGGGGGGGGGCGCCCACAGCCCAGGGGAUGAACCUCCAGACCGAGACGUGCACCCAAGAACCUCGCAUAUUAGAUCCCUCCAGGCUCCCCAGGCCUCGAGCAGAAGCGGCCUCCUGGCUACCCUACUUUCCAAUUGAGAACAGCCCUGGUCUGUCCGGGCCAUCUGCGCGCCACGUCGAGACUCAGCGUCCCAGGCAGCCGCGUCCCAACGUGGCGCUGGUCCCCCAACUCGACAGGUCCAGUGGAGCCCGGCUGUGGGCUGAACUCGAGGGUCCGAGGGCAGCUGAACCUUUUCCAGGGAUUUUUAAUCCAACAGAUUAAAUGGGUCAGAGUGACACACUCGCACAGGGAAGAAAAGCAGGUGCACAGAAGUAGAUUUGGGAAAGUCGCGCGCACGAACGCGCUUCACGCAGAAGCUUCUCCAUCAUCUUGCCUUCUUUCAACAUUCCCAGCGCACAAAGCGCUUUGGAGACUGACUGCAGGCCCUCUCAAUGCAGCCCAGGGAGCGGGGAGUGUUCGGAGAGGGUGUCUGUCCAUCGCACACGCUUGGCGCGCGUGCGCCGGAUGCGCACCGGGAACGGCUGCCCGACGUGUGCCCAGGGCCCGCGGCCCGCCAGGUUCUGGGGGCUGCGCCUCGCACUUCACAAGAGGGGAGUCACCAGGCCCGCUUCCUGCCCCCUCCUCGCCCAGCCUCACGGUGCUCACACGUCCCCGUCGAGGGGAGCCGCGGCAGCCCUCGGACUCCCAGCCCCGGCUCAUCUUCUAUCCUUCCCUCCCAGGCCCUAAGUCCCCGGGCUGCGGUGCGGGCCGGCGAUCUCUGAGCUUCCUGCAGGCGCUGCGGCGCGCGCUCCCACCGUUCCCUCCCCCUCGCGCUCGGGUUACAGCCGCGGACUCCUGAGAGCGUGGCCUGGCGUCCGCACAGGGUGGAAUUCGUAUUUGGCCAGGAAUCCGGACUCCGAUCAUCCCAGGAGACGCGGACCGGGGGCCUCCAGAGCUCUCCGGAGCGUGCUGCCGCUCCCCACCAGCCACCAGGGACUCGGAGGCCCUUCCUGGGUCCGGAGAAGCGACGGGGACACUUAGGGGAAAACUUUGCCAACUUCGCUCUUGGCGCGGAAGAGGCCGCUGGCCGGAAUGGUGCAGCAGCGGCGGCGGGCCGCGACGCGCAGGGUGGGCCCCGGGCCAGUGCUGGGCACCCUGGAGCGCGUCGGGAUGCCCAAAGUGGGGCGUGAGGCCGGUGGGCUCUUUGCUCCUCCGCUUCGCCCCUGCGCCUCCCGCGACCCGUCUCACUUCCCUGCGUCUCUGAGCGGCCCGAGAGGCGCAGCGCUCAGAGUGGCCUUGAUGGAAGAACCUGGCCCUCGGCGGGAACGAUUUUCUUUUGCUUUACCUCUUCUGGAUCAGCCGUUUUCCACCUGACUUGAGCAGCCCCCUCCCCCAUGCCUUUUUUUUCUCGUUCCCUCCGUCUGUCCUCACAAUUUCCUCUAUCUUCGAUUUCUAGAUCAUUCGCUUUUCUUCUCUUUCCUCCGCUUCCUCAUUGUGCUGUUUUUAUGCCUUUGCCCUGGACCACUUUUCAGUUCACUUUUCUCCCUUCUGCUCCCUCCCUCACCCCCUUCUUAAUGUCUCUUUUUUCCUCGCCCUGAGUCUGUGACUGUGUCCCUUUCCCCCAUCUGCAGUUGCCGUUUUUGAUUUUCUUUCUUUCCUCCCCACUUCCAUCCGGAUCCUCUCCUAUUUCCUCCUUGGAUUUCUGUCUCUCAGGUUCUGUCUCUCAGGUUCUCCUCUCCGUAAAUAUUCUCUCCUCUCCCUCUCCGGGAUCCGUCCCCUCCCCCACGUGGAUCUGCCUCCCCGGCGCCCCCUCCUCAUUCAUCCUGGGAGAUGAAUUUGUCGCCUUAUUGGACGCCGAGGCCAGAGCCGUGUGAGGGGGCUCGGCCAGCGCUGUGCAUUUUCUUCAUGCAUAUUGAGGAGAUGGUAAUGAGCGCGUUUGCAUUGUUGCUUGGAAAUGUUGUGUUUCCUGCCGCAGUUCGCAGUUCGGAGUGGGCGAGGGUGGUGUGGGCCCAGGACAGCCCCUCAGUAGGCACCCGGCCUGGCGGCCGCCGCUGACCCUCUCCGGAUUCCCGGGCUCUGGGGGCCGGGGGAGGAAGCGACCUUGCCGAGCUCCUGACCCGGCCGCCGCCUCCUCCUCCGGUUUGUCCACAAAGGCCGUCGCGCUCCCCUCAUUAAAGCCUCGUUACAGGAACCCCCGGCUGGCUCGCGACGGCUCCUCCGAGCCCCCCUGCCCACCGGCCUCUGAGCCCCUCCCCUGAUUUGAGAGGCCUGUGAUGGAGCGCCACCAGAAAAUUAGUGCCUGACAACGUCGUCUAUUGGCAAUAAAUUGAGAUUCCAAGUGACACGUCGCGGGAUCAAACACAGCCACAUUGUUGUGUACCCUGCUCCGCUCGCUCCUCGUUAAUCUUGGAGGGCGCCUUGGCAUCGCUUGGCCAGGGGAGGUUGUAGGCAGGCCUUUCGGCUGUCAGGACUCGGAUCCUGCCUCUGCCCUGGCUGAGCCCACUUCAGUCAUUCAGGAGGGACUGACUGCCCCUCCCUGAUAAGGUCCAAGGCGCUCAGGAGGCGUGACCCAGGAACGCCUUUCAAUAAGCUGAAGGUUUAUUAAAGUCAGGAGCUUCGAGGGGCAAACUCUGAGUUAAGCUUGUGGGGAAUCGACGUGAGCCUUGCUGGGAAUUCAGAACAUCAAGGUCUGGCCUUGUCUGGAAUUGUCUGGUGUCGAGUUUCCCAAACUUCAAGCUUCCCGCUACUACCUUUAUUAUUUACUUAACAUUUUUCCUUAAAUUGACUCAUUUUUAAAAUCAAAGUACAUAUUUUUGGAAAGAAAAUCUGAUACUACCACUGUAAAUUGAAAAGUAGCUGUUACUCACCAGAAAAGGAAGUGGUAAAAGAUAAACACAGCUAAAACCAAGCAAUGUUAAUACAUGUUAGCCGUUUUGCUGGCUUGGAAAGACUCCUAGAGGCUCAGCUGUGAUGCCACGAGAAUACUCAGAUAGCACACGGACAGGCCCACAUGGCAAUGAAUUGCAACUUGCCAGCAACCAUGUGGGUUAGCUUGAAGUGAAUUCUCUAGUCCUGUGUCUUCAGGUGACUGUAGCCCUGGCUGACCAUGUGACUGAACCUGAGGAGAAGCUGAGCCAAAGGCACACAGAUAAGCUGCACCUGGAUUCCUGACUACAGAAACUGUGAAGUAAUAAAUGUUUGCUGUUCAAAGCCAAGGGUUGGCAAAAUAUAUUCCACUUGUUUCUGUAAAUAAAGUUUUACUGGAACACGGUAAUGUUCACUAAUGUGCCUAUUGUUAUGGCUGCUUUCAUACUUCAACAGUAGUAGCUAUUGAGUAGUUGCAGCAAAAGACUAUAUGUCCACAGGACUAAAAUAUUUACUAUGUGGCCCUU
rnacentral:lncRNA from 1 species